UCAGAGAUUUUAUUUUGUUCCAUUGACUGCUUAAAUUUUCAGUGAGCCUUUGAUUGAGAAGCCCGUGCUAAAACUCUUGAAAUCAGGCACAUGGCCAUUUAAUCAACAACACAAGAUAACACAAAAAAGGGGGCCUGAGAAAAAUGAUCAAAGUUUAAAGUGACAACAUUCUAUGUUAACAAAGAUUUUAUACACACUUGACGCAUACAGUGCAUACAAUGACUACUGAAUCUCCAUUCCUAGGCAGCCAACGAGAUUAUGAAUGAAUUUAUUAACUUCAAACAAAACUUCAGGUUGUACACUUAAAAAAUUACAAACCAUUUGAAGAUGAAAAUUAACAAUGGAAGCGACAAUGACUGUAAAAUAUGAUGGGAUGACUUUAAAGAAAGGUUCAAGUAUUGUUUGUAAAGUUCUUCGGACACUAGAGUCUUUGAAAAGUUUGUGCAUUUCCCAUCUUUGCAUAGUAAAAACAAAAAUGAAAACAAAAAAAAACAUACUACUUGGUAAAACUCCACGGCUCUAUGUGAUUCAUGUUUCAUAACAUGCACCUAUGUGUACUGCUCAUUUAGCUAAUAGGAGUAGCACUAAUUCAGUGGGCUCAUGCAGUGUCCCAGGUGAGCAAUGAAGUUAGCGCACACCUCCUCAUCCAGGUGUCGUUAAUUAAUGCAGCAAAGAAUAGCGGAUGAAAUGGGAACUCGUCAUCACUUAACGCUAACUCUUGUUGGGUAACAUUAGGACGGUGAUACGCUUGUAUGAGCUCAAAUUAAUAAAAAGGACUAUUCUCACCACGAAAAUCAGCAAAUGAAUGGCAUGUGCAAGAGAAAAUACAGCAAAGAGUUCGAAACGACAUAACCCAAUACCACCAACAAUAAUUAUAAUCCAUUGUUUACGGUUGGUAUGGUUGCAUUACCUUUCUUUCCUAUUCAUACACACAUGGCUUAAAGCUUGUGUAUUUUACAUAUACACACAGAUAAUUUAACAUUGGAACAUAGGUCUGGUUACCUAUGAAACUGCCAGUGUAACAAAAAGUUACACUGACAUUUGCCAUUAUGUACAUAUUUGGGGACCACUGUGGUCUGAUUUAAAACGUAACAUCGCACACUUACAAUGUUGUUUGUGAAAUGCUCAAAAGUUAAUAAUAGAGAUUUAACUUGUUUUGUAACCAUCAUGGUUUUGUUUUUGUUAAGUCACCGUGGUGCCUCUGGAAGAGCAGUGAAAUGUAUAUGGUGUACUCAGUAACAGCUUGGAAUCCCCUAGUGAGUAGGAUCCAGCAACAAGGACAUAAACAAUACAGUGAUAGGAAGAGAUGCCAAGUAAUCUGAGUUUCCUUUGGGUUGAAAGAACCAUCACCACUAGGCGAAGGGAUACAACCUGUGUCUUAUGGAGCCAAGAAUAAGGCUGAUAAACCCUGUAGAUAGCCCUGUUUUUCCAAUAUAAAGAUACAGCUAGUUCUGGAGAAAGACUGCAGACCUGGGUAGCACCUAGUACUCAGAAAGCAGUAACAAGAUUAAGAGGUUAGGUUAUGAUCUACUGGGGCAUAGCGAAAUUGAGGUUUCUGCUCUAUGAUUGUGAUACUUCCAUGAUUAAAUACACCUGGAAAUAACCUCACGGUUUUAAGCAGUACAGUUUUAGCACAUAAUCCUUUCCAAAAUCAAAGCAAAAAUUGUGAGACUGGUGUCAUGACUCUUGCUGAAAAGGGACCUAAAGCUAAAUCUAGCAACUCAUUUGAUGGUCAUGAGGUGAACAGCAGGAUUGCGUGUCCUGUUCCUGAAAAGAGGAUGUUGGAGAAGUGUGGGCUUUCUGGGGGCCUUCGGGAAAGCUCCUCUCUAUAAAUGGGUGCUCACUGAAGGACUCACGUACUAGGUUCUACAUUCAAAACCAAGUCAGGACCAAAUUUAUUAAUGUAUAUACUUAACACUUGAAUGGAAGCUAUCUUGAUCAUAAAUGGAAGAAGAAAUCGAUGCCAGUGAAGGAAACUCGAAGGGACUUGGGAACCCAGAUUACAUCUGCACAUCUGCCUGAAGGCAAGAGAAGAUCAUGAUUUUGUGAA
rnacentral:lncRNA from 1 species